ACCGUCAAUGAUGACGAGGUUGUUGCUCAUAUACUCAAUGGUUUAGAUUUUGAUUAUCACCCGUUUGUUUCUUCUAUGAUGGGCCGAUCAGGGGAUCUUUCUCUUUCUGAGCUCUACUCGCUUCUAAUGGAGUAUGAUC
rfam:Setaria italica strain Yugu1 chromosome I, whole genome shotgun sequence.